rnacentral:rRNA from 1 species
CCCUUAGAUGUUCUGGGCCGCACGCGCGCUACACUGGUGCGUUCAACAAGUUUAUAUCCCUGCGUUCGAAAGGCGUGGGUAAUCUUUUAAAAGCGCACCGUGCUUGGGAUAGAUUUUUGCAAUUUUAAAUCUUCAACGAGGAAUCCCUUGUAUUUGCAAGUCAUCAACUUGCAGAGAAUACCGUCCCUGCUCUUUGUACACACCGCCCGUCGCACCUACCGAUUGAGAGCAUAGGUGAAAACUCAGGAUUGUCCACAGUGCAAUUAGUGUUGUGAACAAGAAUUUGUUUAAACCUCCGUUCUUAGAGGAAGGUGAANUCGUAACA